CCAGACUCCUACGGGAGGCAGCAGUGGGGGAUAUUGGACAAUGGGGGAAACCCUGAUCCAGCGACGCCGCGUGAGUGAAGAAGUAUUUCGGUAUGUAAAGCUCUGUCAGCAGGGAAGAAAGAAAUGACGGUACCUGACUAAGAAGCCCCGGCUAACUACGUGCCAGCAGCCGCGGUAAUACGUAGGGGGCGAGCGUUAUCCGGAUUCACUGGGUGUAAAGGGAGCGUAGACGGCCAUGCAAGCCAGGGGUGAAAGCCCGGGGCCCAACCCCGGGACUGCCCUUGGAACUGCAUGGCUGGAGUGCGGGAGGGGCAGGCGGAAUUCCUGGUGUAGCGGUGAAAUGCGUAGAUAUCAGGAGGAACACCGGCGGCGAAGGCGGCCUGCUGGACUGCGACUGACGUUGAGGCUCGAAAGCGUGGGGAGCGAACAGGAUUAGAUACCCCCGUAC
rnacentral:rRNA from 1 species